GUGUCAGCAGCCGCGGUAAUACGUAGGGGGCGAGCGUUGUCCGGAGUUACUGGGCGUAAAGGGCAUGCAGGCGGUCGUACGCGUUUCGGGUGACAGCGGGUGGCUUAACUACCCGAGUAUGCGAAAGACGGUCUGACUUGAGGGCUCGAGAGGGACACGGAAUUCCGGGUGGAGUGGUGAAAUGCGUAGAGAUCCGGAGGAACACCGAAGGCGAAGGCAGUGUCCUGGCGAGUGACUGACGCUGAGGUGCGAAAGCUAGGGGAGCGAACGGGAUUAGAUACCCCGGUAGUCCUAGCCGUAAACGAUGACCACCAGGUGUGGGAGGUAUCGACCCCUUCCGUGCCAAAGUAAACACAUUAAGUGGUCCGCCUGGGGAGUACGGUCGCAAGAUUAAA
rnacentral:rRNA from 1 species